rnacentral:rRNA from 1 species
UACAGAGGUCCCAAGCGUUUGUUCGGAUUCACUGGGCGUAAAGGGUGCGUAGGUGGCCAGGUAAGUUCGGUGUGAAAGCUCGGAGCUUAACUCCGAAAUGGCAUUGAAUACUAUCUGGCUAGAGGGUCGGAGGGGAGACUGGAAUUCUCGGUGUAGCAGUGAAAUGCGUAGAUAUCGAGAGGAACACCAGUGGCGAAGGCGAGUCUCUGGACGACUCCUGACACUGAGGCACGAAAGCCAGGGGAGCAAACAGG